rnacentral:rRNA from 1 species
GACGAACGCUGGCGGCGUGCCUAAUACAUGCAAGUAGAACGCUGAAGGAGGAGCUUACUUCUCUGGAUGAGUUGCGAACGGGUGAGUAACGCGUAGGUAACCUGCCUGGUAGCGGGGGAUAACUAUUGGAAACGAUAGCUAAUACCGCAUAAGAGUAGAUGUUGCAUGACAUUUACUUAAAAGUUGCAAUUGCACCACUACCAGAUGGACCUGCGUUGUAUUAGCGAGUUGGUGGGGUGACGGCUUACCAAGGCGACGAUACAUAGCCGACCUGAGAGGGUGAUCGGCCACACUGGGACUGAGACACGGCCCAGACUCCUACGGGAGGCAGCAGUAGGGAAUCUUCGGCAAUGGACGGAAGUCUGACCGAGCAACGCCGCGUGAGUGAAGAAGGUUUUCGGAUCGUAAAGCUCUGUUGUAAGAGAAGAACGAGUGUGAGAGUGCAAAGUUCACACUGUGACGGUAUCUUACCAGAAAGGGACGGCUAACUACGUGCCAGCCGCCGCAGUAA